rnacentral:rRNA from 1 species
UACGGAGGGUGCGAGCGUUAUCCGGAUUCACUGGGUUUAAAGGGUGCGUAGGUGGGAAUGUAAGUCAGUGGUGAAAUCUCCGUGCUUAACACGGAAACUGCCAUUGAUACUAUGUUUCUUGAAUUUUCUGGAGGUUAGCGGAAUAUGUCAUGUAGCGGUGAAAUGCUUAGAUAUGACAUAGAACACCGAUUGCGAAGGCAGCUAACUACGCAUAUAUUGACGCUGAGGCACGAAAGCGUGGGGAUCAAACAGG